ACUGGACUCAGCACUGGCACAGAGGCAGCACAGCUAUGUGGGAAGAACACAGGCUGGUCUGCAGGUGUCUAGAUUUGGAUCCUAGCUCUGUUACUUACUACUUUGUGACUUUGAGCAAAUUCACGUCUCUGAAAGACCAGGACCAGAGACCAUGCUGGGAAGCCUGGCUGCUCUUUGAGGACUGAGAUGAACUUAGCAAUGCAGAGAAGAACAAAGAGAGGCUUGUGCUCACCGUGUUCCAGAGGGAUCACCGUGUUCCCUUUGUUCAUUUGAGGACAUGAAUACAACUAUGGUCUUUGGACAAAAGGCAUAUGCCAGGCAGUAUGAAUGGUCUCUCUUGUCUGUGCAAUUAGUAUGUAAGAGCACGUGAACUGGUGCCUGGGACCUCUACCUGUUUUAGUAUGAUAGCACCACAGUAAAGGGCCUGGACUUUGUAUGAGCUUGGGAAAAUCAUGUCACCUCUGCAAGUCUUGGUUUCCCUGGGUGUUAAAUGUCAAUUUAAGUAAAAUGCUAUCUACUUUGUUUUGGA
rnacentral:lncRNA from 1 species